rfam:Schistosoma curassoni strain Dakar, Senegal genome assembly, scaffold: SCTD_contig0000087
AUCCAGCUGACAAGUCCCAAAUAGGACGAAACGCGCGUCAGGCUGGAU